UAAGCAUAUCAAUAAGCGGAGGAAAAGAAACCAACAGGGAUUGCCCUAGUAACGGCGAGUGAAGCGGCAAUAGCUCAAAUUUGAAAUCUGGCUCUUUCAGAGUCCGAGUUGUAAUUUGCAGAGGGCGCUUUGGCAUUGGCAGCGGUCCAAGUUCUUUGGAACAGGACGUCACAGAGGGUGAGAAUCCCGUACGUGGUCGCUAGCCUUUGCCGUGUAAAGCCCCUUCGACGAGUCGAGUUGUUUGGGAAUGCAGCUCUAAAUGGGAGGUAAAUUUCUUCUAAAGCUAAAUACUGGCCAGAGACCGAUAGCGCACAAGUAGAGUGAUCGAAAGAUGAAAAGCACUUUGGAAAGAGAGUCAAAUAGCACGUGAAAUUGUUGAAAGGGAAGCGCUUGCAGCCAGACUUGCCUGUAGUUGCUUAUCUGGACUUUUGUCCAGUGCACUCUUCUGCGGGCAGGCCAGCAUCAGUUUGGGCGGUUGGAUAAAGGUCUCUGUCAUGUACCUCUCUUCGGGGAGGCCUUAUAGGGGAGACGACAUGCAACCAGCCUGGACUGAGGUCCGCGCAUCUGCUAGGAUGCUGGCGUAAUGGCUGUAAGCGGCCCGUCUUGAAACACGGACCAAGGAGUCUAACAUCUAUGCGAGUGUUUGGGUGUCAAGCCCAGACGCGUAAUGAAAGUGAACGGAGGUGGGAACCCUUUGGGUGCACCAUCGACCGAUCCUGAUGUCUUCGGAAGGAUUUGAGUAAGAGCAUGGCUGUUGGGACCCGAAAGAUGGUGAACUAUGCUUGAAUAGGGUGAAGCCAGAGGAAACUCUGGUGGAGGCUCGCAGCGGUUCUGACGUGCAAAUCGAUCGUCAAAUUUGGGCAUAGGGGCGAAAGACUAAUCGAACUAUCUAGUAGCUGGUUCCUGC
rnacentral:rRNA from 1 species